UAAUAAACUAGCUCGUGUUCCAGCAGUCGAGACUGAGAGGUCGAUCGACCACAUUGGGUAUGAAAAAAGCCCAAGGCGAACAGCACAGCAGUGAGGAAUAUUGGUCAAUGGUCUAACGACUGAACCAGCAAUUUGGAAGAACGUAUAAUAAAUAAAUUAUUUAAAGUUCUAGAUAAAAUAUUUAUAAUGACUAUUUUUUAUCUAUAAGUCUUGGCCAAAUUACGUGCCAGCAGUCGCGGUAAUACGUAAAAGACGAGUGUUAUUCAUCUUUAAUCGGUUUAAAGGGUACCUAGACGGAAAAUCAAGCUUAAUUAAACUAAGGACUAGUUUUCUAGAGUUUGACAUGAGAAGGUACGAACUAUCAGAGGAGAGAUAAAAUUUGUUGAUACUGGUGGGACGGACAACGGCGAAGGCAAUCUUCUACUAAAAACUGACGUUGAGGGACGAAGCCUUGGGGAGCGAGAAGGAUUAGAUACCCUAGUAGUCCUUGGAGAAAAUUAUGAGUGCCAUAGACUAAAGUGAAAAAGAAGUUCUUUUAAAAGAACUUUGUAUCUGAGCCUUAAUUGGAUACAAAGGUCUCGAGUAGCAGUUUAUAAAUGAAAGUGUAAGCAUUCCACCUCAUGACUAAAGCGGCAACGCCCAAAUUGAAAUCAUUAGACCGUUUCUGAAACCAGUAGUGAAGUAUGUUAUUUAAUUCGAUAACCCGCGAAUAACCUUACCACGUUUUGAAUUUAUUAAACAAGUGUUGCACGGCUGUCUUCAG
rnacentral:rRNA from 1 species